GACGAACGCUGGCGGCGUGCCUAAUACAUGCAAGUCGAACGCAUUUUCUUUCACCGUAGCUUGCUACACCGAAAGAAAAUGAGUGGCGAACGGGUGAGUAACACGUGGGCAACCUGCCCAUCAGCGGGGGAUAACACUUGGAAACAGGUGCUAAUACCGCAUAAUUCCAUUUACCGCAUGGUAGAGGGAUGAAAGGCGCUUUUGCGUCACUGAUGGAUGGACCCGCGGUGCAUUAGCUAGUUGGUGGGGUAACGGCCUACCAAGGCUGCGAUGCAUAGCCGACCUGAGAGGGUGAUCGGCCACACUGGGACUGAGACACGGCCCAGACUCCUACGGGAGGCAGCAGUAGGGAAUCUUCGGCAAUGGACGCAAGUCUGACCGAGCAACGCCGCGUGAGUGAAGAAGGGUUUCGGAUCGUAAAACUCUGUUGUUAGAGAAGAACAAGGAUGAGAGUGGAAAGUUCAUCCCUUGACGGUAGCUAACCAGAAAGCCACGGCUAACUACGUG
rnacentral:rRNA from 1 species